rnacentral:rRNA from 1 species
UUGCUCUUCAACGAGGAAUGCCUAGUAAGCGCGUGUCAUCAGCAUGCGUUGAUUACGUCCCUGCCCUUUGUACACACCGCCCGUCGCUACUACCGAUUGAAUGGCUCAGUGAGGCCUUCGGACUGGCUUGGGGAGGUUGGCAACGACCACCCUAAGCCGGAAAGUUCGUCAAACUCGGUCAUUUAGAGGAAGUAAAAGUCGUAACAAGGUUUCCGUAGGUGAACCUGCGGAAGGAUCAUUAACAAUUUUGGAGGUAGGCUGUAUAAGUCUGGUUGGCAACAACUAGCAUGCCCCUCUAUUUUGUACCCUUGUCUAUUUGCGCACUCAUGUUUCCUCGGUGGGCUUGCCCGCCGAUUGGACAACCUUAAAACCUUUUUAAUUGUUAAAUCAGCGUCUGAAAUAAACUUAAUAAUUACAACUUUCAACAACGGAUCUCUUGGUUCUGGCAUCGAUGAAGAACGCAGCGAAAUGCGAUAAGUAGUGUGAAUUGCAGAAUUCAGUGAAUCAUCGAAUCUUUGAACGCACAUUGCGCCCCUUGGUAUUCCAUGGGGCAUGCCUGUUCGAGCGUCAUUUGUACUCUCAAGCUAAGCUUGGUGUUGGGNUGUUUGUCCACUCCCUCGUGUUUGGACUCGCCUUAAAACAAUUGGCAGCCAGUGUUUUGGUAUUGAAGCGCAGCACAAUUUGCGAUUCUAGCCUAGAAUACUAGCAUCCAUCAAGUCAUUUAUAACGCUUGACCUCGGAUCAGGUAGGGAUACCCGCUGAACUUAAGCAUAUCAAUAAGCGGAGGA